AACGAACGCUGGCGGCAUGCCUAGCACAUGCAAGUCGAACGAGACCUUCGGGUCUAGUGGCGCACGGGUGCGUAACGCGUGGGAACCUGCCCUUAGGUUCGGCAUAACUCCCCGAAAGGGGUGCUAAUACCGGAUAAUGUCUUCGGACCAAAGAUUUAUCGCCUUUGGAUGGGCCCGCGUUGGAUUAGCUUGUUGGUAGGGUAAAAGCCUACCAAGGCGACGAUCCAUAGCUGGUCUGAGAGGAUGAUCAGCCACACUGGGACUGAGACACGGCCCAGACUCCUACGGGAGGCAGCAGUGGGGAAUAUUGGACAAUGGGCGAAAGCCUGAUCCAGCAAUGCCGCGUGAGUGAUGAAGGCCGUAGGGUUGUAAAGCUCUUUUACCCGGGAUGAUAAUGACAGUACCGGGAGAAUAAGCUCCGGCUAACUCCGUG
rnacentral:rRNA from 1 species